GCCAGGUGUGGUGGUGGGCGCCUGUAGUCCCAGCUACUCGGGAGGCUGAGGCAGGAGAGUGGCCUGAACCCAGGAGGUGGAGCUUGCAGUGAGCUGAGAUCAGGCCACUACACUCCAGCCUGGGUAACAGAGCAAGACUGUCUCAAAAAAAAAAAAAAGUAAUAAUAAAUAAAAAUAAAAAAUACUGAGUAGUUCACUAUUUUUUAUUUUUUAUUUUUUGAGACGGAGUUUCGCUCUGUCGCCCAGGCUGGAGUGCAGUGGCGUGAUCUCGGCUCACUGCAAGCUCCACCUCCUGGGUUCACGCCAUUCUCCUGCCUCAG
rfam:Pan troglodytes isolate Yerkes chimp pedigree #C0471 (Clint) chromosome 1, whole genome shotgun sequence.